rnacentral:rRNA from 2 species
UACAGAGGGUGCAAGCGUUAAUCGGAAUUACUGGGCGUAAAGCGAGCGUAGUCGGUUAUUUAAGUCGGAUGUGAAAUCCCCGGGCUCAACCUGGGAAUUGCAUUCGAUACUGGAUAGCUAGAGUUCGGCAGAGGGAAGCGGAAUUUCGGGUGUAGCGGUGAAAUGCGUAGAUAUCCGAAGGAACAUCAGUGGCGAAAGCGGCUUCCUGGACCAGAACUGACGAUCAGGCUCGAAAGCGUGGGGAGCAAACAGG